GUCAAAUCAUCAUGCCCUUUAUGAUCUGGGCUACACACGUAAUACAAUGGUACUUUAACAGAGGGCUGCGACUUUGCGAAGAGGAGCGAACCCCUAAAAAGUAUCUCAGUUCGGAUUGCAGGCUGCAACCCGCCUGCAUGAAGUCGGAAUUGCUAGUAAUCGCGGAUCAGCACGCCGCGGUGAAUACGUUCCCGGGCCUU
rnacentral:rRNA from 1 species